UUUUGCCCUCUGAGACGUUUAUAAUUCAGAUUGCAUCUAAAUAAAAAAAGUGACAAAAACAGUUUAAAAAAUUGUCCAAAAUAAUUUGAAAAAAGGCGCCAAAACGUUGAAUUUUUCUUUUAAAAAAACGUGAAAAAUGCGCCUAAAAUGUCCAAACAACCAACAGACAGCUUGAAUUAAAGUGUAAACGAGGCCUGUGAGAGUUCCAGAGCGUUUGUGAUGAACUUCACUUCAUUUCUGACUUUUGGGAACUUAUUUUAAUGGUCAUAUUCAAACUGGAGACUUUCAGAAACUCUCCGAAGCUUCUUCACGCGUUUCCGUGUCCAAAACCACUCGGUGGGUUUCCCCGGCAACCAAAGCCGCCGCUGCGUCCUGGUCUCUGAUUGGCCGUGGUUGUAUCGACAGCUGAUUGUUUUCUACUCUGAAGGAAUAUUUUACAUACGUGAAUGUUUUUCGGAAAUAAAAACUCUUUCUACCA